GACUUUGCGCAGUGGCGGUACCGUAGCCAAUGAAGUUUAUCUUAGGCGCGGUUAUUGUUAGUUGAAAACUACUCCCAAUACCCUGUACUGACGGCGUGAAAUAUCGUCGUCAGAUGCAAUUUAUUUUGUGCGUCUGUGGCAC
rfam:Trichobilharzia regenti genome assembly, scaffold: TRE_contig0031167